rnacentral:rRNA from 1 species
AUUGAACGCUGGCGGCAGGCUUAACACAUGCAAGUCGAGCUAGCGGCGGACGGGUGAGUAAUGUCUGGGAAACUGCCUGAUGGAGGGGGAUAACUACUGGAAACGGUAGCUAAUACCGCAUACCAUCAGAUGUGCCCAUAUGGGAUUAGCUAUUAGGUGGGGUAAUGGCUCACCUAGGCCACGAUCCCUAGCUGGUCUGAGAGGAUGACCAGCCAGACUGGAACGGAGACACGGUCCAGACUCAUACGGGAGGAAGCAGUGGGGUAUAGUGCACAAUGGGCGCAAGCCUGAUGCAGCCAUGCCGCGUGUGGGAAGAAGGCCUUCGGGUUGUAAAGCACUUUCAGCGAGGAGGCGUUACUCGCAGAAGAAGCACCGGCUAACUCCGUGCCAGCAGCCGCGGUAAUAC